AAUAUCAAAGGUGAGCCAGUACAGGAUGGACCCGCGUCUGAUUAGCUAGUUGGUAAGGUAACGGCUUACCAAGGCGACGAUCAGUAGCCGACCUGAGCGGGUGAUCGGCCACAUUGGAACUGAGACACGGUCCAAACUCCUACGGGAGGCAGCAGUGGGGAAUAUUGCACAAUGGGCGAAAGCCUGAUGCAGCAACGCCGCGUGAGUGAUGAAGGCCUUCGGGUC
rnacentral:rRNA from 1 species